rnacentral:rRNA from 1 species
GAUGAACGCUGGCGGCGUGCCUAAUACAUGCAAGUCGAGCGAACAGACGAGGAGCUUGCUCCUCUGACGUUAGCGGCGGACGGGUGAGUAACACGUGGAUAACCUACCUAUAAGACUGGGAUAACUUCGGGAAACCGGAGCUAAUACCGGAUAAUAUAUUGAACCGCAUGGUUCAAUAGUGAAAGACGGUUUGGCUGUCACUUAUAGAGGGUACCGCGCCGCAUUAGCUAGUUGGUAAGGUAACGGCUUACCAAGGCGACGAUGCGUAGCCGACCUGAGGGGGUGAUCGGCCACACUGGAACUGAGACACGGUCCAGACUCCUACGGGAGGCAGCAGUAGGGAAUCUUCCGCAAAGGGCGAAAGCCUGACGGAGCAACGCCGCGUGAGUGAUGAAGGUCUUCGGAUCGUAAAACUCUGUUAUUAGGGAAGAACAAAUGUGUAAGUAACUAUGCACGUCUUGACGGUACCUAAUCAGAAAGCCACGGCUAACUACGUG